CUUUGCUACCCUUGGUGGGACCCGACGAGCGCGUCGUACCGGGACCCUGCAAAGACGACGCACC
rnacentral:ncRNA from 1 species